rnacentral:tRNA from 1 species
GGAGAGGUGUCCGAGUGGUUGAAGGAGCACGCCUGGAAAGUGUGUAUACGCUAACCGCGUAUCGAGGGUUCGAAUCCCUCCCUCUCCGCCA